UACGUAGGGGGCAAGCGUUAUCCGGAUUUACUGGGUGUAAAGGGAGCGUAGACGGAAUUGCAAGUCUGAUGUGAAAAUCCGGGGCCCAACCCCGGAACUGCAUUGGAAACUGUAUUUCUAGAGUGUCGGAGAGGCAAGUGGAAUUCCUGGUGUAGCGGUGGAAUGCGUAGAUAUCAGGAGGAACACCAGUGGCGAAGGCGGCUUGCUGGACGAUGACUGACGUUGAGGCUCGAAAGCGUGGGGAGCAAACAGG
rnacentral:rRNA from 1 species